GUGACCACAACAACUUCCACUACAACAGUGACAACAACACCAGAGACUACAACUACUGCCAUGCCAGUUACUACAGGUGAAAUUGGUGAUGCAGCUGUAGAAACUACGCGCCCACCAAGAUACACA